rnacentral:lncRNA from 1 species
GUGUCCAAACAGGAAGAAUGUUUGCCUUCUAUCUAGGACCUGUCUCCCAGCUUCACUGCUCAUAUUGUCUUUCCUCCUCCUUCUUUCCAUUUUUGCCCUUCAUAGCACUCCAGUUGCACUGUGGUUAGUAAUAGACCUUUAUAUUCCGUCAGCUUCGCCUGUUUCUUAGGAGGCGUUUCUACUUAACAAAGGGCGUUUCCGAGGAUACGAAGCACUAGAAGAGAACGGAAUAGGGCGUUCUUGGUGGCAAGCGAAAGAAAUUGAACUACAGACAACAUAGAGUUUGACUUACUGAUUGCAGUUUGUGUGACAACAGUCUCCGAAAAGGACCAAGCUUCCACUCUGCUAAUGACAGCUGACGUUUCUAAUCGCCCGAGAGGCACGGAUGUCUCAUUUCAGGAGACGCGCAUAGAGGGCUCGUCUGGCCUUGAAAUUCUGAAUUUUGAAAAGAGUUCAAGGUGAUGAUACCAAUGUUGCUGGUCCUGAGAACGAACUGUGAAGAGCAAGGGGCUAAGUCACAUGGAAGAUAUAGGGGAGCUGACGCCUCAGGAAUUUCCUCCUUGACUUCUGCAAGAGGUCACCUGGCAAAUCUAAGUCAGACGCUAGACAGCAAAUGGCUAUAGCUUGUUUAACUGGGAUUUCGUUUCUGAUGGACAGAGCGUGAGGACAGCCGCUCUGAUAAGGCUCUCCCCCCCCAUGGACUUGGCAGAUGAAGCCGUGUUAUAAAUAGAAGUGAUAUUUUGUGGGGUUCUCCUCACUGAGAAGCACAUGAGGUCAAAUCCUAAUCAAGGAAGACCUAGCCAUGGGCCAAGAAUCUGGAAGGAGAAAGAAAAUAUAACAAGGAGGAAAUGGAAGAGGUUGGGUUCACAAUAUGUCAUCCAUAAACUCAGCACCUGGUUCACAGUAUGUUAUCCCUAAACACCUUGGCAUUGGGAGAAUCAUGGAGUGGGGCUGAUGUUUCUAGCCUCUGUUGACUCUUCCCUCUGAGGUAGGAGACAUGAUCCUAACGUGAGAGUGGUUCCUCCUUACACCACAGGGAAGGCACAUCCUGGUCUCUGAAGACCGGGUAUCAAGAAGAACCUGAAUAGACAGGCCUUGCUAAACUCCACUUAGGUUGAAACCACUAGCAAAACUCCUUAUUUAUCACAAUUUCUGAGCAUGGUGGUGCACACCUUUAACCCUAGCACUUGUGGGCAGAGGCAGGUAGGUCUCUGGGAGUCAAGGCCAGCCUGGUCAAUAUAGUAAGUUCCAGAAUAGGCAGGGGCUACAUAGAGAAACCCUGUUUUAUAAAACAUCCAGUCAACCAACCAACCACACUUCCCCAUGACUGCCCACUUCUUGCAGAACCUACAAAUAAAAACACGAGUUUCUUUGGG